rnacentral:rRNA from 1 species
AUGCCAUGUGUAAGAUUGCCCCCUAGGUUUCAGGUACAUGUUCGGAGAGGCACUUCCAUAUUGACGGAUUCAUGGAUUUGGGAACAUCACAAUGUGGUUGUCUUUGAAUGGGCGUGAUCAAGCAUAGCUAGCCUUCUCGACAUGGUUCUGGUGGAGGCUAGGCUAUGGGCAUUGGCAGGAGCUGCUGGGCUCGCGAAUCUCCUACCACCGGUUGUCGGCGCUUCUUGGAAUCCCCUUAGUAGACUUGUACAUAACCUUAUUGUUUAUCAAUUCAAUGAGACAUGA